rnacentral:lncRNA from 1 species
GGGGGCUCCUGCCUGCUGACUACAGCUUGUUUAUGGAGCAGCCCCUGUGGAGGUGCUUUGCAGUCAUCGUCUCCUUUGGCCCCCAAGACAAAGAGGAGAGGCAGCCACUCCAUUACUCAGAUGGAGAAACUGAGGCCCAGAGAUGUUAGGGUGCCUUGUCCAAGGUUGCUCCUCCUAAGAUGAUCUGACCCAGGACUCGAACUGGGGUCCAGCUGAUUCCAAGACUAUGCUCCUAUCUUUAUUUGUACUCACAUGACUAAUUUAUCUGUUAUUUGAUCCAAGCUAGUCUGUCAUUCUAAUUAGGUGGUUAGAAUUAAUCAGUUGGCCUAGGUUUGUGCAUAAGUGACCGUUUGUGUGCGCGCGUGUGCGUGAUUUUGGAGAGAGGUGCACUUGGUUAUAUACCAGAGCUUUUGUUUGGGAUGGCAGUAUAGUGCCUGUAAACAUGUUAGUCUAAAUUAGGCUGGAAAGUGUUUGCUGUUUUCAUAAAACUGAUGCAUUUACUGCAGAAGGGAGCCUUGCUAAAAAUCCUUGCUGGAUUUUUAAUAGAAAGCAUAGAAAUAGCACUUCCCUUUACAUAGAGUAAGCUGUAAAAGUACUAAAAUAGAAUAAUACUCUUCUGAGAUACUGAUUUAUAAUUUUGGGAUCAACUUGGAGUCGCCUGAAUUCAAACCUCCUGGCAAAGUGGAGCUGUAAAUUUCAAGAAGCAUUAUGAACCCGACCCUUGUGGGAGCCCCUGAUUUACUGAACAACCACCUGUGAUUCUUAAGUUGAACAUUCUGGAGUAAACCUGGAGUAUGCAAAUGUGGAAACUGAUUUAGGGUUGUGCAGGGAAAUGCACCUUUAACAGUCAUGCAUCAGGCAAAUGAGGCUCCUCAGAAACACUGAAACAUUCUUUGCUAUUGCCCUGGGGAGCUGCAGCAUCUUCCUCUAACCACCUGGUAUAAACUUAAGGGGUAUUUAUAGAAGAUGUAAAUGGAAAAUAUCCUUUUACCAAAGUGAAUAUCUUAUCCCAAACACUCUUAUAUCACGUGUGUGGCGAGGCAGAUGAUGUAAGCCUUCCUUGCCUCAUGCUUUUCCUGGUGUCACAAAGACUUUGGUAGGUUCCUAAAUUCCUAGUUAGACAGAGUCUUAGGUGACUACAGGCGUUCUUAUUUUCCUUAAAUUGGAAUGUCCCAAAUCCCGUGACUCAGUUGUACUCUUCCUCGCUGGGUUGACAGCAAAGACUGCUGCUCUGGGGGGUGUCAUAUGAUGCUUUCUGUGCUCGCCUGUUUUCUUGUGAGGUGAAACUGGACAGUCUUACUAGGACAAAUCAAAUACAUACUGUCUGCGUGAUGUUUCCAGAAUAAUGAAAGGUGUCCAGCAGAACCUUCUUGCUCAGAUGUCCGGCCUCAUAGUAGGUAGACUUGGAUAUUCAUUCGGUCUUUGAGGACGCUCUGGAUAUUCCUUUUAGAAGAAGUCAUAGGUGAUUCUGAUGCGCAUCAGAGGUAGAGGACCAGUGGCUAAGGUAUCAAUUUGGCUGUUUUUCUUUUAAUUUAUAAUUUAUGGCAGAGGCUUUUCUUAAAAUAGCAUCUCACCUCUGGUGUAUGUAGUGGUGGGUGAGUUUUGGGCUCUGAAUUACAGCUGACUUGAUCUUACCGAUCUGUCUUCUUUCCGACUUUGUUAGGGUACAGGUCUGUUCUCUUGUGGGUCCUAGGGCCCCAGUGGACUGAAAUGAACUUUUCCUGCAAUUAAUCGGGUAUUCUUGGAUGCAGAUGAGCCAAAUACAGCACUACAUCAACACUUCGAGCUUGUCGAAAAGUCGCAUCGCUUUCGAUUUCUCACAAGUCACUGAAGUUCUCUGAGCUUCAGCUUCUUCACUUGUGAAAUAAGAGAGUUGGAUUGUAAAUGAGUAUCUCGAAGUCUAAAUUUCUGGGACUUCAAGUCCUGGGGCUUCAGUUAAACAUUCUAAGUUGCUUGAAUGAAAAUGUUAAUGGCUUGUAAAAACUAAGCAAACAGGUGACUUUUAACCUUGACCCAUUGAGUGGUGACUUUUAAUGCUUUCUUUUAUAUCACAUUUUUCAAAGGUAUUCUCUGUUAUUUCCUCAUAUUUUAAAUCUCUUUGAAAGAUGAGUGUUAUUUGUAUUAGUCUUGUCAUUUAAAUAGUGGCAAGCGUGAAAGGAAAGGAUACUCAAUAGCAUUAAAACUCUAGCUUUUUGCUUUAAAAAUACACGUAUUUGUGAUUAGUAUCUACUCAAACACUGAGUUUUUCCCCUCCGUGUUUAAUAUAAUUUAGUUUGCAUGAAAUGCUAAUUUUUUCCAUUAGUCUGAAAGAGGUUUUAGAUCAUUUAAGUUGGUCUAAAAUUACCAUUAGCAAUUUUAGAUUAUUUCUGAUUUGAUUUUUUUCUUUCUUUCUUUUUUUUUUUUUUUUUUCUUUUGUGUCUAUUUUGGGGAAGGCAAGAAAUAAAAAAUAUGCAUGUAUAAAACAAAUAUAAUCCCAGAACCUUGCUCAUUUCUCCUUGUCCCUUCUCUUGUGCAGCACUAACUUUUGUUCUAUACCGGGAAGUAACAAAAGGUAACAGAACACUUUUUAAGGUUGAAUGAAUUCAGAUUGUCAUCUAAUGAGUAAAGUGCCUUAAAAACCUAGCUGGGAUACAAAUCCAGGCCUGGCGGUUACUGGCCUAGAAUUCCCAGGUCACUUUCUAAAGUGAAGACAAUGGCAGCAGAGGCCAUGAAGUCUUUGAGUAACAAGGGGCAGUUUUAUCCUUCUGUUGGUGGUGGUGGGCGCAGUGGGGAGCAGUAAGGAAGAGCAGACCUUAAUGCCUGCAUUCCUAGGAGCUCUGCGGCCUGUGGGUAGAAGGCAGAGCAGGAGCACAGUAACAAACAUGAAGUGUAUCCGCGUUAAGCUACAAAAUAACUGUCAUCAAUGUUUCCAGUAUAAAUUACGCCUGGAAGCCUUUUGUACCCAGCAAUACAUUUUGUUUAGUAAUAGUAUUUUCAUAAUAAAGUUAACAUUUAUUGGCACAGUGCCCAACACCCCGUUUAGUAUCUUCCAUCCAUGAUCCUGGGAGCUCUCUGCACAGACUUAAGGGACAGGAUAGGGAGAUGAGGAAACGGAAGCUUCCUAUCAGGCCACUUCUUCAGUGGCUGGGCUGGGAUUUGAACCUUGUUGGUUGACUCCAGAGCCCAAACAUUUAAUCUUUCACUGUGAUAAAUUGCCUGAGCUGCUGAUCUCCUGAACUAACUCAUAGGUCAGUGGUUUUUAAGGUUUUUUUUUGGCGGGGGGAGUGUGGGGGGGUGCUCAGUUCUCUGAGAAUUUGUGGAAAGCUGUCAACCAAAUAUUCUUUCCUGUCCCAUCACCACCAACAAAAUUCAUACAGAUAUGAAAUUUUAGGCAUAGCUUCAGGAACCUUACAGACCCAGCCUGAAGCCCAGCUGGUCAUUCCAGAUAGAUGACUGCACUUAAAAAAUGGACUUGAGGGGGUUCUUGUUGUGGCUCAGUGGGUUAACUGACAUAGUGUCCAUGCAAAUGUGGUUUGAUCCUGGGCCUUGCUUAGUGGGUUAAGGAUCCAGGUCGAGGAUGCUGUGUGGCUGUGGUUGUGAGCUGAAGCUCCGAUUCAACCCCUGGCCCAAGAACUUGCAUAUGGUGCAGGCACG